rnacentral:rRNA from 1 species
CUCCUUGCACACACCGCCCGUCGUUUCAUCGAAGUUGGCCUUUGGUGAGGUAGUGUCUAAUUGGCAUUAUCGAGUUUGAGGUCAGUGACGAGGGAA